rnacentral:rRNA from 1 species
AUGGAGGAACAACCUCACUUGUAUGAGGCCGCCGCCUUCCCCACCGAUCCUGAGACCACUGAUGGUGCCGCCGAGGAUGACCACACUGAUGCCACCACUGAUGGUGCCGCCGAGGAUGCCACCACUGAUGAUGGCGGCGCCCGCACAGAUGGCAGCCAACCGAAGAGGCAACGGAAGGACCGGCGCCUGAUUGUGCUCCUCACCCUCAAGGAGGAAGUUACUGAAGUGGACUCCAACGGGAAUCCAACGGCGCCCGAACGAAUAGUCAAGGGGUACUCGCUUCAGCUUGGGUGCAUUGUUCGGAGCACCGUCUCGAUCAACACCGAGAACCUGAGGCAUCCUGACCGAGGGAAUUUGCGCCACCUCCUCUUCACGAAGUUGCACGAACGAUACAAGUUCCCCGCUGAAUUUGCAAACACAAGCCUCAAAGGGAAUAAAGUGAACAAUGCUGCCUUCACGAAGAUGAGCAAGGCCCUGUCUACUUGGAAAAGAAAUGUGAAGAAAAUGAUCGAGAAAGGUGAGAGUUAUCAGAAGAUCAAGGAGAAAAAUCCUUCGAUCACCGAAGAUGACUACAACGACUUCAAGAUCAAUUGA